rnacentral:rRNA from 1 species
GAUGAACGCUGGCGGCGUGCCUAAUACAUGCAAGUCGAGCGAACAGACGAGGAGCUUGCUCCUCUGACGUUAGCGGCGGACGGGUGAGUAACACGUGGAUAACCUACCUAUAAGACUGGGAUAACUUCGGGAAACCGGAGCUAAUACCGGAUAAUAUAUUGAACCGCAUGGUUCAAUAGUGAAAGACGGUUUUGCUGUCACUUAUAGAUGGAUCCGCGCUGCAUUAGCUAGUUGGUAAGGUAACGGCUUACCAAGGCGACGAUGCGUAGCCGACCUGAGAGGGUGAUCGGCCACACUGGAACUGAGACACGGUCCAGACGCCUACGGGAGGCAGCAGUAGGGAAUCUUCCGCAAUGGGCGAAAGCCUGACGGAGAAACGCCGCGUGAGUGAUGAAGGUCUUCGGAUCGUAAAACUCUGUUAUUAGGGAAGAACAAAUGUGUAAGUAACUAUGCACGUCUUGACGGUAACUAAUCAGAAAGCCACGGCUAACUACGUG